rnacentral:rRNA from 1 species
UACGGAGGGUCCGAGCGUUAAUCGGAAUUACUGGGCGUAAAGCGCACGUAGGCGGAUUGUUAAGUUAGGGGUGAAAUCCUGGAGCUCAACUCCAGAACUGCCCUUAAUACUGGCAAUCUAGAGUCCGGAAGAGGUAAGUGGAACUCCUAGUGUAGAGGUGGAAUUCGUAGAUAUUAGGAAGAACACCAGUGGCGAAGGCGGCUUACUGGUCCGGUACUGACGCUGAGGUGCGAAAGCGUGGGGAGCAAACAGG